AUUGAACGCUGGCGGCAGGCCUAACACAUGCAAGUCGAGCGGAUGAAGGGAGCUUGCUCCUGGAUUCAGCGGCGGACGGGUGAGUAAUGCCUAGGAAUCUGCCUGGUAGUGGGGGAUAACGUCCGGAAACGGGCGCUAAUACCGCAUACGUCCUGCGGGAGAAAGUGGGGGAUCUUCGGACCUCACGCUAUCAGAUGAGCCUAGGUCGGAUUAGCUAGUUGGUGGGGUAAAGGCCUACCAAGGCGACGAUCCGUAACUGGUCUGAGAGGAUGAUCAGUCACACUGGAACGGAGACACGGACAAGACUCCUGAGGGAGGGAGCAGAGGGGAAUGUUGGGCAAUGGGGGAAAGCAUGAUCCAGCGGGGCCACGUGUGUGAAGAAGGUCUUCGGAUUGUAAAGCACUUUAAGUUGGGGGGAAGGGCAGUAAGUUGAUACCAAGCUGUUGUGACGUUACCAACAGAAUAAGCACCGGCUAACUACGUG
rnacentral:rRNA from 1 species